rnacentral:lncRNA from 1 species
GUGUCGUAUUUCAUCCACAGCAUUCUCUCCGUGAAGAUGUUGGCGGCGUUGGUUCUGGUUUUGCUGGUGUUCAGUGUGACUGAGGGACGGAUCAUGAGUAAAUGUGAGCUGAAGGAGCAGCUGGAAGCAUCUCAGAUUCAGGUGAUUAGAUCCAUUGGAGACAAAAUGACCAAGGACAAACUCAUCGCUAGACUUGUUUGUAAUGUAGAAAACACUUCCGGCUUCAACACCAGCCUCGUCACCAACAUCCAAGAUGAGAUUAGACCUGCAUUCCAAAUUCCCCCCAAACCAAAGGAGGAAAAACCACCAGCAAAGGAAGAAGAUGAUGAGAAACUGGAAGAGGAACACAUAAUCCCUGUUAAACCACAAAGUCCUCCCAAGGGAAGACGUGGAAGAUCUGUCCCUGAGGGCAAGACCGCUGAGAUACUCGGAGCAAAGGAGCGUCUCUGGACAUGGCGCCGUGGUCUCUUCCCAGAAAAGAUCCCUGCAGACUCGUCUGGAAGCGGUCCAGAGGCGAUGUCCGAGGAGGACAGCUCCGGAGACAGCUCGGAGGAAGAGGGGCGUGAUGAUGUCAUCGCCUGGGACCUAUUGGGAAUCUUCCAUCUGAGCGACCGCGAGGCCUGUGAUCCCGGAUCGAGCGCAUCGCUGAACCUUUGUGGUCUCGAGUGCAGCGCUCUCGUUGAUGAUGACAUCUCUGAUGACAUUGCUUGCUUGAAGAUUUUGGCGGGAAGCAGCAACAAGUUCAGUGGCUUGAGUCCCAAGAAGAGGUUCCUCGCUAAGAUGUGAGUAUGAGCACAGUGAUUGUUCCUGUGAUUGAUCUCCAGCUCUGAGCUCCAUAGUAAAUGUGCAUUUAUGUGCUUCAGGCUGGCAAUGCUGCCGGUGAAGGAGUGUCGCUCUGUCCUUCCUUCCAAGUACUUCGCUGAGUGCUAGAACAUCCAGGCAGAUGAAGCUUCUCCAUCUGAAGGCUGAAACAUCUUCACCACUCAACGGUGGAGCCCUUUUUCAAUCACAGGAGACUCAACACUUAGGUUCUCGCACACUUAAAAACCCCAUGAUCUCAAAAUUGGACCUUUUGUUAAUGUAUAUCAGCUUUGACAUCAUUUAUAUGCUAAUGUACUCCUAAACACUGAGAAAAUGAACUUUUAUGCAUUUGAAAUUUUCCUGAAGUAAGAAUGUUUUUGUCCAAUAAAAUGCUUUUUAGAAUAAAAAUAUACCUUUUAAAGCAUACAUAAAAGGCUUU